CGUGAGGAACCUGCCUUGGAGAGGGGGAUAACACUCCGAAAGGAGUGCUAAUACCGCAUGAUGCAGUUGGGUCGCAUGGCUCUGACUGCCAAAGAUUUAUCGCUCUGAGAUGGCCUCGCGUCUGAUUAGCUAGUAGGCGGGGUAACGGCCCACCUAGGCGACGAUCAGUAGCCGGACUGAGAGGUUGACCGGCCACAUUGGGACUGAGACACGGCCCAA
rnacentral:rRNA from 1 species